rnacentral:tRNA from 1 species
UUUAGCUCAGUGGCAUAAGUGCCUGCCUUACAAGCAGGAGGUCAUGGGUUUGAUUCCUGGUAA